rnacentral:rRNA from 1 species
UACGUAGGUUGCAAGCGUUAUCCGGAAUUAUUGGGCGUAAAGGGUGCGUAGGCGGUUACGUGUGUCUAAGGUGAAAUUCCAGAGCUCAACUCUGGACUGCCUUAGAAACUGCGUGACUAGAGUGCAGGAGAGGGCAACGGAAUUCCAUGUGUAGCGGUAAAAUGCGUAGAUAUAUGGAGGAACACCGGUGGCGAAGGCGGUUGCCUGGCCUGUAACUGACGCUGAGGCACGAAAGCGUGGGGAGCAAAUAGGAUUAGAUACCCUAGUAGUCCACGCUGUAAACGAUGAAUGCUAAGUGUUGGAGUAAAAUUCAGUGCUGCAGUUAACGCAAUAAGCAUUCCGCCUGGGGAGUACGCACGCAAGUGUGAA